ensembl:lncRNA
CUUCACCAACAGGGGACCUCCGAGCCAAGAGGGGACAUUUUUCAGGUCCCCUUUUGGUCAUGCCUUAAAUCAACCUAAAAACAUGCCUAAAAUAUUUUGACGCAUUUUCACAACUUUUGCCAAGAGGGGACCUGAAAGUGUGUGAGUGUUUAGUCCAUACUCUAUAGCGCCUCUGCUGGCCAGAGCUUGAUUUUCAACGACCAAUCCACACACGUCGCUUCAAACACUCCUCUAUUGUGUGAACGACCUGCAGUCGUUCACACGUCUGUAGACGGCUGUUAAACAGACUACUUAGUAAAGUCUCUUGAAACAUGCAAACAAAAGAGGCUCAGCUUUAAAAGUUCCACACUUUUUUGUAUGUAGUGACAGGGGUCCACUAAUAAAUAAUAAUAAUAAUACAUUUAAUUUGGAUGACACUGUUGGCUAUUACAAAAUGACACAAGUCCCUUCUUAGAUAGCAUGGAGCGACAUGCACACUCCUUCUUUUAUGAAAAGAGGUAAUAACUAUAUAUACUGUAAGGGAAAGAUAGUAAUCUCAACUCAUGUAAUAAUAAUUUUUCAAACUUGAUUUGUUAGUGUGUUUUUAGGAAUAGAAUUGUCUAACAAAAAACCUAUCUAUUAAUUUGUAUCAAUAAAAGUGAUAAACAAAUACAACAUAAGGGUCUAGACCUUUGAAAUUGUUCAAUCCCCAAAUUAGCCUUAAUUUACCAUUUUACAAUGUACUCCAGUCCCCAAUCAAUUUUUAAAGAAAUGCAUUUGAAUUGUUGAUUUGCAUCACAGAAAAUGGUCCACACUUGUACUGUAUGGAAUGACAGGGGUCCACUGUUGGCUGAUACAUAAUGACAGAAUUCCCUCUUAGAUAGCAUAGAGUGACAUUCACACUCCAAAAUUGAUGAGUAAAAAAAUAAAUAAGCAAAAUGGACAGUUCUUAAGAGGUAAUAACAAUGUAGAUAUGAUAUAUAUAUGUAUGUAUAUAUAUAUAGUGUUAUUUUGCAAGCAAAGUUGCCCCAACAAUGUUGUCAUUGUGGCUUGUCAUGAACACACAUUUCUAAAUUUAAUAAGGUUUUUAAUUUUCUUUAUUACAAACUUGUGAGCUUAGUCUACGGUUAAAGGAAUGCAUUUUAUCUGUUGAUUUGCAUAACAUAACUUUUUCUAAUGACAGGGGUCCACUGUUGGCUAUUACAAAAUGACACAAGUCCCUUCUUAGAUAGCAUGGAGCGACAUUCACACUCCUGCUUUUAUGGAAAAAGUAAAUAACUAUACAUACUGUAAGGGAAAGAUAGUAAUCUCAACUAAUGUAAUAAUAAUUGGUCAAACAUGAUGUUACUAUGUUUUUGUAACAGAAUCUAAAGGCUCAGCUUUAAUGGAUAGCUUAACCAUUGUCAAGUAUGACACUGUAUUCAAUAAAGGGCUACCCAGAAGGCAAAGGACCAGCUAGAGGAUGGCUUAAUUUCACAAAAGACAUGAACAGCGACUUGUUAUCAUGUGAAAAAGGAAUCAGAAUCAGGUUAAAUGCAAAAGUUGUAUAUUUAUCAGUGUAUACAUUAAACACAGUAAGAGUAAGAAUAUAAGAGCAAGAGUAUAAGUAAAAAAUAAAAACAAGUACUACAAAUCACUAAAGUCAGGAAACAUACAUAUAAAACUGAAAUAAGAGAUAUUUAAAAUAACUAUUAUAUUAUUUACGUAAUAAUAUUUACAAAACAAGUGCAAGACAUGUUUAAAGGGGGCAUAUCAUACCACAAGGUGUGAGUGCGAUUAGCCAUUACAAGCAGGUUUGAAAAUGUGCAGCAUUGUGACAUCACAGGUGGGCGUGUCCACCUAGAUGUGUGCUGGAUAGAUCAGUCUACCAGCCUACCCAGUGGACUGAAGUAAACGUUGCUCAUCUAUCCAGCAAAGAUCUAGGUGGACACGCCCACCUGUGAUGUCAAAAUGCUGCACAUUUUGAAAACGGCUUGUAAUGGCUAAUCACACUCACACCUGGUGGUAUGAUAGGUCCCCUUUAAAAGAUUGGCAAAUCUGUAUUCCUUCAUGUUCUAACAGACUGAGGCUCCGUUUACAUGGACUAACAAUGAUGUAACCUUAACACUGAGGCUCCGUUUACAUGGACUAACAAUGAUGUAACCUUAACACUGAGG